UGGGGAAUAUUGCACAAUGGGCGCAAGCCUGAUGCAGCCAUGCCGCGUGUGUGAAGAAGGCCUUCGGGUUGUAAAGCACUUUCAGUCGUGAGGAAGGUAGUGUAGUUAAUAGCUGCAUUAUUUGACGUUAGCGACAGAAGAAGCACCGGCUAACUCCGUGCCAGCAGCCGCGGUAAUACGGAGGGUGCGAGCGUUAAUCGGAAUUACUGGGCGUAAAGCGCAUGCAGGUGGUUUGUUAAGUCAGAUGUGAAAGCCCGGGGCUCAACCUCGGAAUUGCAUUUGAAACUGGCAGACUAGAGUACUGUAGAGGGGGGUAGAAUUUCAGGUGUAGCGGUGAAAUGCGUAGAGAUCUGAAGGAAUACCGGUGGCGAAGGCGGCCCCCUGG
rnacentral:rRNA from 1 species